UGGGGAAUAUUGGACAAUGGGGGCAACCCUGAUCCAGCAAUGCCGCGUGUGUGAAGAAGGUCUUCGGAUUGUAAAGCACUUUCGACGGGGACGAUGAUGACGGUACCCGUAGAAGAAGCCCCGGCUAACUUCGUGCCAGCAGCCGCGGUAAUACGAAGGGGGCUAGCGUUGCUCGGAAUGACUGGGCGUAAAGGGCGUGUAGGCGGUUUACACAGUCAGAUGUGAAAUCCCCGGGCUUAACCUGGGAGCUGCAUUUGAUACGUGUAGACUAGAGUGUGAGAGAGGGUUGUGGAAUUCCCAGUGUAGAGGUGAAAUUCGUAGAUAU
rnacentral:rRNA from 1 species